AAUGAACGUUGGCGGCGUGGAUUAGGCAUGCAAGUCGUGCGCGAAACGUAGCAAUACGUGGAGAGCGGCGAAAGGGAGAGUAAUGCAUGGUUAGCUACCCUCGGGACUGGGAUAGCGGCGGGAAACUGCCGGUAAUACCAGAUGACAUCUUCGGAUCAAACGUGUAAAUCGGCCCGAGGAGGUGACCAUGUCCUAUCAGCUAGUUGGCAGGGUAACGGCCUACCAAGGCUAAGACGGGUAUGGGGGCGUGAGAGCGUGCCCCCACUCACUGGGACUGAGAACUGCCCAGACACCUACGGGUGGCUGCAGUCGAGAAUCUUCGGCAAUGGGCGCAAGCCUGACCGAGCGACG
rnacentral:rRNA from 1 species